rfam:Picea glauca, whole genome shotgun sequence.
GAUAAAUCUGAAGCAGAGUCUUCAAUUUUUU